rnacentral:pre_miRNA from 11 species
UUGUCUAGCAGAUCAGCUUUUUGUUUGUGUUAUGUUCAUACUAAAAUGUAAGACGAACAAAAAGUUUGUCUGUUGGAUG